ACGAGCGCACCCUCGCCUUUAGUUGCCAGCAUGUUUGGGUGGGCACUCUAAAGGAACUGCCGGUGACAAGCCGGAGGAAGGUGGGGAUGACGUCAAGUCCUCAUGGCCCUUAUGUCCUGGGCUACACACGUGCUACAAUGGCGGUGACAGUGGGAAGCCAGGCAGCGAUGCCGAGCUGAUCUCAAAAAGCCGUCUCAGUUCGGAUUGCACUCUGCAACUCGAGUGCAUGAAGUUGGAAUCGCUAGUAAUCGCGGAUCAACAUGCCGCGGUGAAUACGUUCCCGGGA
rnacentral:rRNA from 1 species